rfam:Triticum urartu cultivar G1812 contig780039, whole genome shotgun sequence.
GAAGUACUCCCUCCGUUCCAAAUUACUCGUCGCAGAAAUGGAUGUAUCUAGAACUAAAAUACAUCUAGAUACAUUCAUUUCUGCGACGAGUAAUUCGGAACAGAGGGAGUAAGUU